GCCCUGCUAGCUCAGUUGGUUAGAGCGUGGUGCUAAUAUCUGAAUAAGAUAAACACGCCAAGGUCGUAGGUUCGAUCCCUGCGUGGGGCA